UAUAAUAAAUCUAAAACAUAAUUUUGUACUUAAUACAUUGAUUUGAUCAAUAAAAAGAUAAAUUUAUUUUUCAUUCAAGUUAGAUGUGUUCUUGAAUCGUCCAUGAAAUUAACUUUCGAUACAUAUUCUCAAAGAGUUGAAAAUUAGAGAUAUAUAUUUAAUUCUUAAAUUCUCUCGAUCAUAGUAUCAUCAUGAGGAUGGUGAUUUAUCUAGAUAGACCGGC
rnacentral:lncRNA from 1 species